CACCGGGAUGUUCAUAACCCUUUGUUGUCCGACUCUGUUGCCUCCGGGGCGACCCUGCCUUCGGGCGGGGGCUCCGGGUGGACACUUCAAACUCUUGCGUAACUUUGCAGUCUGAGUAAACUUAAUUAAUAAAUUAAAACUUUUAACAACGGAUCUCUUGGUUCUGGCAUCGAUGAAGAACGCAGCGAAAUGCGAUAAGUAAUGUGAAUUGCAGAAUUCAGUGAAUCAUCGAAUCUUUGAACGCACAUUGCGCCCCCUGGUAUUCCGGGGGGCAUGCCUGUUCGAGCGUCAUUUCACCACUCAAGCCUCGCUUGGUAUUGGGCAACGCGGUCCGCCGCGUGCCUCAAAUCGACCGGCUGGGUCUUCUGUCCCCUAAGCGUUGUGGAAACUAUUCGCUAAAGGGUGUUCGGGAGGCUACGCCGUAAAACAACCCCAUUUCUAAGGUUGACCUCGGAUCAGGUAGGGAUACCCGCUGAACUUAAGCAUAUCAAUAAGCGGAGGAA
rnacentral:rRNA from 1 species